rnacentral:pre_miRNA from 1 species
AACCCGUAGAUCCGAACUUGUGUUAGAGUUCGGCUCGCAAGCUCGCAUCUCUGGGUCUA